ACCAAAAGCACAAUGAUGCCUUUCUUUUUACUCACAUUUGAUGACAUCCAUAGUGAGAAACAGCAGUUCCACUGUCCAACACCAGGAAAUGUUCUGACUGUUUCACCGCUCCAGCUAAUACUUACAGAGGUGUGGCCUAUUCCCACUUGUAUUGGGGGCUUUAGAAUCUGACUCCUUACAUUCCUAAGAUUAAAAGACAUCUUGUGCUGUUUUAUGUUCUGAGAAGGAUUGAUUACCACAAAGACAGAUCUAUAGAGAAUGUGAGUGGAAACUAUACGAGCUGCUAACGGGACAAGGCAUUUAAGAAUCAUCCGAGUUCUGCUCUUCUUGCUGGCUGGAGCUAAGAAUUCAAGAACAAACACCAGCAAAGAGAUUCAAUACAAAUAUCCAAUUUUGAGAUAAGGGAUGGAUAACCAUAGUGUGAGUUGAGCCACAGAAAUGUGGAUGAAUUCAAUAAAUAUUUGGAUGAUUGUUUAACAUUACUUCAUAAUUGAUGGGAAUAAAAAAGUAUAACAAAGAGAAGAAAUCAAGGCUGCAGCAUGACAAAAGGUUUAUAUUUUAACUUCAAGAAAUCACACAUACUCUGUUUUUUCCUCUACUGAAAGAUUAGACUAACAAUCCAAUUUACCUGGACAAAAUAAGCUUCUGGGAGAUUCUGAAAGUUUGUUAUCUUCCUUAUCCUUGCCUUUUUGUAUUUGAGAAUUAUAUCACCAUUCUCACCAUUCUAGGAUGUUUUCACUAAUAAUUUUUGAGAUUUAAUUUAUAAAUAUCAAGCUUCCUGGUUCUUGAAACCUACCCAUAGUUAACAACUGAUUCCUAGUUCUAGGGUUAACAACUGAUUCCUAGUUUCAGGGUUUUCCUGAAUAUUAUCUUUAUGCCAGCUUUAUAGCAUUUUGGAAGGCUCAUUUAUCCCACAUUAUGAUAUUCUCCUGCUUUCAAUUUCUCUGUGUCUUCUCGUUUCUCUUAAGGCUAAGCUGGACAUUGCAAACAGGAUAGUCUCUUCUAUCUUGCCCAGCCUUUUCUCCUAUCCCAUUUUUGCAUUCUCUCUAUUCUCUGAUCACAGAAUUGUUUUCAUUUCUGAAGGUACAACUAGUGUCACAUCUUAUGCACAUGCUGUUCCCUUUACUAGGAUUAUACUUUUCCCUUAAAUUAUCUACCCUUUGCUUGCUUUAUUCUGACUUAACUUCAGAUUAUGGCUCAAAUGUAUUUCCUCAUAGAAUUCUUCCUUGACACCUCAUAAUAAAUAA
rnacentral:lncRNA from 1 species